UCAUCGAUUUAGACUUCCGUGUAGGUGACAUCCUCUUCACCAGCGUAAGCCGAAUCACAGGCCCUCACCACACACUUGUGCCUCAUCAUCUCUUUCACCCUCCCCCACCACCCCGCUUUGCCUCUGGGCACCCCCAAUCAAAUGUCCAGCGCCACCUGUUGGUUAGUGCUUCUUUUUUCUUCUCCUUGAAAGUGAGAUCCUACGGUAUUUGACUAUGUCCCCGGGGCCUGUUUGACUUCCCCUAAAACCCUCCCAGCCGUUCUGGUGGUCACAAAUGGCUGGAUUGCAGCCUUUGUUCCCGCUGAGUGGUAUGCCAUUGUGUGGCUAUAGCCCAUGCUCCUUCUCCAUUCUUCCCUUGCUGGGCACCAGGGCGGCUUCCAAGUCUUGGAGAGCGGGAGCAAGGCUGUGGUGAACUCAGCGGUGCACAUGUCUUUAGGCGGUUGUGUUUCCGAGUUCUUUGGCUAAACACGCCCCCGAGGAAUAGCUGGAUCCUAUGGGACAUGGAUUCCUAAAUUUCUGAGUCAGUUCCACACCGCUUGGCC
rnacentral:lncRNA from 1 species